UACUCCAAAUUAUACAUGAGCAUUACUCAUGUCAUUCAUACAUAAACAUUCAUGAGUAUCACUCAUGACAAUCAUACAUAAACAUUCAUGAGCAUCAUUCAUGUUAACAUUCAUGAGUAUCACUCAUGUUAACAUUCAUGAGCAUCACUCAUGACAACAUCCAUGAGCAUCACUCAUGUUAAUCAACAUAAACAUUCAUGAACAUCACUCAUGUCAAUCUAGCUUCAAAAGCUUCAUUUACAGAGCUCUAGCUUUAAAAGUUUCAUUUACAAAGCUCUAGCUUCAAAAACUUCAUUUACAAAAGUUCAAGCUUCGAAAGCUUCAUUUACAGAGCUCUAGCUUCAAAUCUUCACUUGCAAAGCUUCACCUACAAAGCUUCAGUGCAGGGUAUACAAAUACCGCCUUUGAACAACCGCCACUUCGGCCCAUACAUGGAUUCAAUUUGAAGUUUCCAGCCAACAUACUCUAUUGACCGAAGACUUGGGGGACUACAUUAUGUACCAUAUAUUAGGCCUCAACUGGGCCUCAUGAAAAAUACUUGGGGGACUUUAGCCCAUCAUUUAUGUAUUAAGGAGCGAGCCCUUGUUAUAUAAAAGAGACUCCCUCACUUUCAUUAGAGAGCACCAUUACUCAUGUACUGAGGAGCGAUCCCUUAUUUUAUAAAAAUGACUCAUUCACUUUCAUUGGAGAGCAUCGUCGCCAGCUGAGCAACCGCCUCACCGCGAGCAUCACUCCUAAUCCAUCACUUAUGUAUUGAGGAGCGAGCCCUUAUUCUAUAAAAGGGACUCCCUCACCAUCAUUAGAGAGCAUUGCCGCCUACUGAGCAACCUUCUCACCGCGAGCAUCAACUCUAGCCCAUCAUUUAUGUAUUGAAGAGUAAGCCUUUAUUCUAUAAAAGGGACUCAUUCAACUUCAACGCCACAAGCCGAGGUAUCCAAGGCAACAUAAGCCACAAGCAUAGCAGCCUCGCAAUAUGUGCUACUUCUAGAUGAGUAUCAUUUCAGAUUGAGCACCGCCUCAUAUCGAGUAUCAGUCCUAGACGACAUUUAGUUACUUCAACCCACACAUGGACUGAAUUUCAAGUCUCUAGCAAAAAGACUCUCUUGACUGAAGACUUGGGGGACUACUGUUUAUACCAUACUUAGGGCCUCCGUAUUUAUAUCUCGUAUAAAUACUCGGGGGACUCAAAUGUAAUUAUGUAAUAAAGGAAUGGGCAAAUAUGUAAUAAGUGGGGAACCAUUAUUCUAUAAAAGGACCUCUCACCUUCACAAUUAGGGAGAGCCUCAUUCUCACCCUCGAAGGCCAAUUCCUAGGCCCUUUCACCCCCUCUCAAAACUCUCACUCUCAUAGCUCUCUCUCUCCCUCAGAUAAAUACAAUAUCAGUGUGGACGUAGCCUAAACCUUGAGGUUAACCACGAUACAUCUUGUGUUAUUUACAUUUCUUGCAGAUUCACGGUUGGAUUUACGUUGUUCCAAGACCUCUGGUUUUAUGCAUCAACAGACCUCAAACAUGAGGAGAUAUUAUGUAAUUUACCCUACUUUUUGACAAAUCAUUUAAAUUACGGAAAGAAGUAUUUGAAAGUCAGGUACGUCACAAAAAAUCCCUUAACCAUAAAAAAGUCACAAAAAGUCUCAAAUCAUUUUGGAGGCCCAUGUAUUUAAACUUCGGGCUGGAGAUUGGAUCAUUUUCACAAACUAAAAACCAAACUAACUUCGUAAACCCACAUCUCACAAAAUAUGAAAAAUAAAUUUAAAAAUAAAAAAUAAACGAAAAAUAGACACCUGUUUUGUCUCACAUGUUAAAAAAAAAAGGGGUAAAUUACACAAUGACCACUCAGGUUUGAGAUCUUGCACAAAUCCAUACAACAUCUUUUAAACAUUUCAUUUUCAUACCUCACGUACCAUUUUAUUUCAAAAUAAUAUGUCCGUUAGUUUUUUCAUCCAUUAAUCCGUUAAGUGAUGACGUGGUUGCCACAUGACAAAUUUUUUUUUAAAUUAAAAAAAAAACCUAAAUCUUCUAAAAAAAAAAAAAAAAAAAAACUGAAAUCAUAACCCCACCCCCGUACCCCCUCACCCCAAAACAAGAAACCCAGAACACCCCCAACCCGCGACCCUCCCUCCCAGAUCCCCAUUCCUGCAACCAGUUCGUCUUCUCUUCGCACCCGCACUCACCCUCCCUCCCCUCUUCUCCUUCCCCUUCUUCUUCCUCUAUGUUCAUCUUCUUCCCCUGAAACCUUUUCCUACAACCCAAAAAAAAAAAACCUAGUUUGUCUUCCUCUGCACCCGCGACCCUUCAUCCCAAGAUCCCCAUUCCUGCAACCAGUUCGUCUUCUCCUUGCACCCGCACUCACCCUCCCUCCCCUUUCUCCUUCCUUCAUGUUCAUCUUCUUCCCCUGAAACCCCUUCCUGCAACUUGGAAAAAAAAAAAAAACAACCCAGUUCGUCUUCCUUCGCACCUGCACCCAUCCUCGCACCCAAUUCCAUCUCAUGAACCCAGCGAUGGAUGUGUAGACGCGAUCUGGGUUUUUUUUUUCUUCCUUUUCUUUUCUGAGUUGCAAGGGGAAGAAGAGAUGAGCAGAGGGAGAAGGGGGGGGGCUUGAGUGAGGUGGGUCGCAGGGUUGGGGGGCGCUACAAUGAGGUUGGUCGCAG
rnacentral:lncRNA from 1 species